GGGUGGAUGCAGCACUGGUACAGCACUGCCAGUCUAUGGGGCUGGUUCGGAUCAUCUGGCUGGCUAAGCAGGUGCCCCCCUCCUCCCUCACUGCUCCACCUGAGGCUCUGUGCUCAGUGGAGGAGGAUGAGGUCCCCCUGGUGGACAACCAUAAAUCCACAGUCCAGUUGCUGCACUCCCCUGCCAGAACUUCCAAACAAGGUCAAAGCACAGACCGUGUGGCUGAAGGUUGUAUUUACAAUCUUGUCUUGCAAAGUUUGUGAUAUCAA
rnacentral:snRNA from 1 species